rnacentral:lncRNA from 1 species
GGCACGUUGAACAUAAAAGGGAGAUUUCUCCCCUCUUGUAUUUAAAAAUACGUGUUUGGUGAAAUUAGUCAUUAACCAAAUAUAAUUAAGACCUAUGGUCUUUUGAUAUGAGGUCCUUAGUUCAUGACCUUGAAAUUGAUCUCAAGGUCAUAGCUUAAUUUGACGUUCUAGAUUUUGACCUUUGCUUUUAUUUUAUAUGUAUACAUGAUAAACUUUUGGAAAAAGGUAUCAAACCAUUUAACCUUGAAAGAAACAACCGGAAGUGACCUUUUGUAAACCGGAAGUAGCUAUUUUUUGUACUUUAUUAAUAUAAAAGUAUAUAGAACCAGAUAUUUUUGGAAUCAGUGUCAAGUAAAUAUUCAAAUAUAAUCGUAAGUAACAUUUUUCAAACCGGAAGUAACAAAUUAUCUCCCUUAUUUAAAAACAAUGUAUGGAAACCAAAUAUUUUUGGAAU